CCUACGGGAGGCAGCAGUGGGGAAUAGUGGGCAAUGGGCGCAAGCCUGACCCAGCAACGCCGCGUGAAGGAAGAAGGCUUUCGGGUGGUAAACGUCUUUUAAGAGGGAAGAGCAGAAGACGGGACCUCUUGAAUAAGCCACGGCUAACGACGGGCCAGCAGCCGCGGUAAUACGUAGGUGGCAAGCGUUGUCCGGAUUACGGGGUGUAAAGGGCGUGCAGCCGGGAAGACCAGUCAGAGGUGAAAUCCCGCGGCUCAACCGCGGAACUGCAUUUGAAACUGUUUUUCUUGAGUACCGGAGAGGUCAUCGGCCUUCCUUGUGUAGCGGUGACAUGCGUAGAUAUCAG
rnacentral:rRNA from 1 species